AGCGAACGCUGGCGGCAGGCCUAAAACAUGCAAGUCGAACGCCCGUAGCAAUACGGGAGUGGCAGGCGGGUGAGUAACACGUGGGAACGUACCCUUUGGUUCGGAACAACACAGGGAAACUUGUGCUAAUACCGGAUAAGCCCUUACGGGGAAAGAUUUAUCGCCAGAGGAUCGGCCCGCGUCUGAUUAGCUUGUUGGUGAGGUAACGGCUCACCAAGGCUACGAUCAGUAGCUGGUCUGAGAGGAUGAUCAGCCACACUGGGACUGAGACACGGCCCAGACUCCUACGGGAGGCAGCAGUUAGGAAUCUUGGACAAUGGGCGCAAGCCUGAUCCAGCCAUGCCGCGUGAGUGAUGAAGGCCUUAGGGUUGUAAAGCUCUUUCAGCGGGGAANAUAAUGACGGUACCCGCAGAAGAAGCCCCGGCUAACUUCGUGCCAGCAGCCGCGGUAAU
rnacentral:rRNA from 1 species